AAAAGUUAAAAAUAUCUCGUUGUUUACUAUAACUACAUUCUUUUUUAGGAAGAAAAAAAUGGAAGAUACCUCGGCUUCUGAAACGUUACAAGAUGUGCCCAGGGAGGAGGUUGCUAUAGCUAAUAAUAUUUCUAAUGAUACUGAAAUGGAAAUUGAAAUAGUAUCGCCAACUGCGAAGAGUCUUGUUCAUGAAAUAUCAGGGAGAAGGUUAUUUAAUGUACAACAUUUAUUUGCACAAAUUCUAAAUAGAGAAAGGCACGCACCAUUUGACUGCAGCAUAAUAAAUAUGAAACUGAUAAACGAACGAAGACAAGGAAUGUACAGUGAAUUUAUUUUGGAAUGUCAGAUCUGCCGCAUCACAAAAAUUAUUUCUUCCGAUAAAAAGCUGCCAAAAAAAAAUAUAUAAAUGCUUCUCUUGUUUUGGGAACUAUAUCUACUGGAAUUGGCUUUUCGCAAAUUAACGAAUUUAGUGCCGCGAUGAAUAUGCCAAUGAUGUUGAAAACAACCUUUAGCGAGUAUCACGAAGAUGUAGCAGAUACAAUAAGAGAGUCUGCUUGGAAAACUAUGGAAGAAGCUGCUAUGGAAGAAGCAGAAAUAGCAAAAAGAAAUAAUAAAAUAGACAAAAACGGUGUUGCCUGUAUUACAGUAGUCACAGAUGGUGCAUGGGGUAAACGAUCCUAUAAUGUUAAUUAUGACUCUUUAUCUGGUGUGGCAUGCAUUAUAGGCUACAACACGGGAAAAGUUUUGUUCCUUGGUGUCAGAAAUAAAUAAUGUUCCCUUUGUUCAUGGUAUGAAAACAAAAAGCUAGAUAUAGCAACGCACAAAUGCUUUAAAAACUGGAAUGGAACUUCUACCGCUAUGGAGACCGAUAUUAUCUGUGAAGGAUUUAAAAAGAGCGUGGAAUUAUGUAACCUAAAAUUUACGAAAAUGGUAGGAGACGGAGAUUCAUCGGUAUAUAGAAAAUUAUUACAAGUUAAGCCUUAUGGACACCAGUUAGUGCAAAAAGUGGAAUGCAAGAA